rnacentral:rRNA from 1 species
AUUGAACGCUGGCGGAAUGCUUUACACAUGCAAGUCGAACGGCAGCACGGGGGCAACCCUGGUGGCGAGUGGCGAACGGGUGAGUAAUGUAUCGGAACGUGCCCAGUCGUGGGGGAUAACGUAGUGAAAAUUACGCUAAUACCGCAUACGAUCUAUGGAUGAAAGCGGGGGAUCGCAAGACCUCGCGCGAUUGGAGCGGCCGAUAUCAGGUUAGGUAGUUGGUGGGGUAAAGGCUCACCAAGCCGACGAUCUGUAGCUGGUCUGAGAGGACGACACGCCACACUGGAACUGAGACACGGUCCAGACUCCUACGGGAGGCAGCAGUGGGGAAUUUUGGACAAUGGGCGCAAGCCUGAUCCAGCCAUUCCGCGUGCAGGAUGAAGGCCCUCGGGUUGUAAACUGCUUUUGUACGGAACGAAACGGCGAGCUCUAAUACAGUUUGCUAAUGACGGUACCGUAAGAAUAAGCACCGGCUAACUACGUGCCAGCCGCCGCUGUAA